UACGAAGGGGGCUAGCGUUGCUCGGAAUCACUGGGCGUAAAGGGCGCGUAGGCGGGUCUUUAAGUCAGGGGUGAAAGCCUGGAGCUCAACUCCUGAACUGCCUUUGAUACUGAGGAUCUUGAGUUCGGGAGAGGUGAGUGGAACUGCGAGUGUAGAGGUGAAAUUCGUAGAUAUUCGCAAGAACACCAGUGGCGAAGGCGGCUCACUGGCCCGAUACUGACGCUGAGGCACGAAAGCGUGGGGAGCAAACAGG
rnacentral:rRNA from 1 species